rnacentral:rRNA from 1 species
GUCUAUGGCCAUGCCACCCUGAAUGUGCCCAAUCUCGUCUGAUCUCAGAAGCUAAGCAGGGUUGGACCUGGUUAGUACUUGGGUGGGAGACCACCUAGGAAUACCAGGUGCUGUAGGUG